AACGAACGCUGGCGGCAUGCCUAACACAUGCAAGUCGAACGAGACCUUCGGGUCUAGUGGCGCACGGGUGCGUAACGCGUGGGAACCUGCCCUUAGGUUCGGAAUACCUCCCCGAAAGGGGUGCUAAUACCGGAUAAUGUCUUCGGACCAAAGAUUUAUCGCCUUUGGAUGGGCCCGCGUUGGAUUAGCUAGUUGGUAGGGUACAAGCCUACCAAGGCGACGAUCCAUAGCUGGUCUGAGAGGAUGAUCAGCCACACUGGGACUGAGACACGGCCCAGACUCCUACGGGAGGCAGCAGUGGGGAAUAUUGGACAAUGGGCGAAAGCCUGAUCCAGCAAUGCCGCGUGAGUGAUGAAGGCCUUAGGGUUGUAAAGCUCUUUUACCCGGGAUGAUAAUGACAGUACCGGGAGAAUAAGCUCCGGCUAACUCCGUG
rnacentral:rRNA from 1 species